rnacentral:tRNA from 1 species
UCUAAAAUGGCAGAUUAGUGCAAUAAAUUUAAGCUUUAUAUAUAUAAUUUAAAAUUAUUUUUAGAA